rnacentral:rRNA from 1 species
UACGUAGGUGGCAAGCGUUGUCCGGAUUUAUUGGGCGUAAAGGGCGCGCAGGCGGUUCGUUUAGUCCGAGGUGAAAUCUCCCGGCUCAACUGGGAGGGGUCUUCGGAUACUGGCGGACUUUGAGGAGUGCAGAGGUGAGUGGAAUUCUCGGUGUAGUGGUGAAAUGCGUAGAUAUCGAGAGGAACACCAGCGGCGAAGGCGGCUCACUGGGCACCACCUGACGCUGAGGCGCGAAAGCGUGGGGAGCGAACCGG